CAAAAAUCAAUGUUUCUUUUUUCAAUAUACUUCUUUAAGUCCGAAAAUAAUACAUAAUAGAGAAUGCACCAAGACAAUUUAACUACUUUAUUUUGUUGAAUUAAAUUUUUAAUCUUUUAAUUUAUUUAUUACAUUUUGAUUUCAUAAUUUAUUGUUGUUUUAAUGUUAGAAUUUAUUUAUAUUAGUUAAAUUAGUCUCUUCUACAGCUAAAAUAAAGAAAUAGUUAAAUAUUAAAAAACUAUUAAAUCUAAUAGAAA
rnacentral:lncRNA from 1 species